ensembl:lncRNA
CCCUGAAGAUCAUGCUCUACGAGAGAAGUCACUGCAGUGUGAGGUCCACACGCCGCAGCCAGAGAGUAGCCCCCGCUCUCCGCAGCUAGAGAAAGCUCGAGCGCAGCAACAAAGACCUAAAAUUUAUAUUCUAAAAAAAGAAAACCAAGAAGGGACAGUGAAGGCCCUGAGGAUUAGCAUCAGAGGACAGCAAUGACCUCCGUAGGCCUGAAGACAAAGGAAGAAGCUGACGCAGAGCCCAGGGAAGGCUGUGGAUGCAGGAGGACGUGGUUGGCCCAAGCAAGGGAAGAGAAGCUCGGCCUUGGCCAGACUCUGCACUGCAAGUCCUUUCCCAGAUCCUUUGUGUUUUCAUUUAAAUCUUAUAAUCAGCUCAUCAAUUUCUCAAAACGUCUCCUGGAAUUUCAGUUGGGAUGCCAUUAAAUCUAUAAAUCAGUUUGGGGAGAAUCGUCAUCUUAACAAUAAUAACUAUGCUGGACGUUCCAUGACGGCAGGGAUUUUCAUUCACGGUCCUCACUGCACAGCCCUGGCACACAGUGGAUGCUUUCUACAAAUAUGUUAACUGAAGGAACGAAGUCUCCCUUCUGGGCACAGCACCCCCGAUUGUCCUUUGGAGAACCUCCGUCCUGCACUCUCUACUCACAAGCUGUGAAUGAGGGAAGCCCACACCCAUUGCACAGGGGCCCAUUACCCAGGCUUGGCAGUCCGCAUAUCCAAGACCACAGGCUACACCUGGGCAGGUGGUACCCACACAAGGGGCUGAAAUCCCCGCCCCUCAAGCCCGAGUCCUGGCACAAGACUUGCUUCUCCCAAGAGAAAGGGGCACCCUUCCUAACUGACACAGAAGCACCUCAGGGGGCAGCCCUGGCCAGGAGCAAAUCUCGUCACCUUGACCCCAGUGUUUGGGUCAGAGAUGGGCAUGUAAUCAGACUGGUCCAACCAGGUGAAUCCUAGAAAUCCGCAGGUGCCACCGUUACUGGCAAAGCCUAUUAACAAUUCUUGGGAAAUAAAACUAGAAAUAGAAAUCUGGGUAAUAAAGUCUAACCUUUUUCUUUUCCUUGGUGCUUCAUCUGGUUUUGCUUGCUCACAGGAUGCCUCACAACUCGCCCUUCAGACCAGAGCUCCCGGUAGGAAAGGGCUGCGUGGGCACCCCAGCCCCAUGGUGUGCGGGAGCACCACCCACGAUACUCAAUCCAAGAUGGCGGCGGAGGGCCAUGUGCAGAGAUGCUCCGACUCUGCGACCCCAUGGACUGCAGCAUGCCAGGCUCCUCUGUCAUCCACUAUUUCCUGGAGUUUGCUCAAAUUCUUGUCCAUUGAGUCGGUGAUGCUAUCUAACCAUCUCAUCCUCCACCGCCAUCUUCUUUUGCCUUCAAUCUCUCCCAGCAAAAGCGUCUUUUCCAAUGAGUCGGCUCUUGGCAUCGGGUGGCCAAAGCAUUGGAGUUUCAGCUUCAGGAACAGUCUUUGCAAUGAACAUUCAGGGUUGAUCUCCUUUAGGAUUGAUUGGUUUGAUCUCCAUGCAGUCCAACGACCUCUAAAGAGUCUUCUCUGACACCACAGUGCAAAGCAUCAAUAUUUCGGUCCUCAGCCUUCUUUAUAGACCAACUCUCACAUCUGUACAUGACUACUGGUAAAACCAUAGCUUUGACUAGACGGACCUCUGUCCUCCCCACUAACAAGACGCUAUAAAGCAGCCUUGCCCAUGGCCUAUGAGGGGUGGAGCAUGGGCUUUAGAGUGGGACUGCACACCCUUCCAUUCUUUAAUCAAAAAAUAAAGCUUUCCUUUGCUU